rnacentral:lncRNA from 1 species
CAAUUCUAUGUACUGUCACAAAUUAUGAAACUACAUUCUCUGCAGAAACCAAUCUGUUUACGAGGAGAGUCAAGGCCAACGUACUUUGUGCGCUGCCUGCAAAAGGUAAAGCAACAACGGGAAACGAAUCUUCAACCAGUUACAUGUCUCGACAUAAGUAUGGAAUUGCUAGCGAACUUGCUAGUCUAAUCGGCGGCUACCUGUGGUUAAAGCCUGGAACGGUUGUCUAUGGGCAGUGUGACAGAAUUAGUGACUUAGACAUUGUUGCUUUUGAUUUGAACAGCCGCAAUCCAACGCCAAAUGCAGGAGGGAUCAUUGAAAUGGCUGCAACUUUAUCGUUUUCGACAUCCAAGCCGGUUCACUAUUAUACAGAGUUAGGCAUUUCUGCUCCAGUAAGAUCGAAUCUCAGCGAGUUUGUUAGCAUAAGCCCUGACGAGAAGAACCACAAGAAUACACAAUUAACAGGGUUUUGGAUUGAUAUUUUUAAGAAAGCUACUGCAAUAAUGGCAACAGACACCACAAGGAAAAAUAAAAUGAUUCGACUUUGUGGUGCUUCUAUUGAUGAAUCGCUGAAUGAAGUUUCACGCAAGGUUAAUUUUUGUUCCUUAUAAUCUAUUCCCUUUGCUUUACAAUUUUGAAUAUCUGAAUCUUGAAACUUACAGUAAAGUAAGUAGCUAUUAUAAAAUAUCUGUUGACUGGCUGAAAUUUCAAUUUCAAUUUUUUUUUAUUUUUUAUUUUAUGUAUUGAAGGAUUAUGAUGCAGCCGUUGGCUUACCAGUAAUUAGGGAUUACCAAAGAAUGGUGACAGACCAGUAUGUAGAACUAUCAUCUCCAUAUUUUGAAAAAGGCGCAGAUCAAUUGAGGAAGGAAGACCUUGAACUGAACCAAGUUUUUUCAUUCAUGAUGCCUUUCACCAACG